rnacentral:rRNA from 1 species
GACGAACGCUGGCGGCGCGCUUAACACAUGCAAGUCGAACGGAAAGGCCUGCUUUCCCUUGUGGAUUGCGGGUACUCGAGUGGCGAACGGGUGAGUAACACGUGAGUGAUCUGCCCCCAACUUGGGUAUAAGCCUGGGAAACUGGGUCUAAUUCCCGAUAGGACUGCAGGGUGGUGCCUGUGGUGGAAAACGAUUUUCUAGUGGUUGGGGAUGAGCUCGCGGCCUAUCAGCUUGUUGGUGGGGUAAUGGCCUACCAAGGCGGCGACGGGUAGCCGGCCUGGGAGGGUGGACGGCCACAUUGGGGCUGAGAUACGGCCCAGACUCCUACGGGAGGCAGCAGUGGGGAAUAUUGCACAAUGGGCGGAAGCCUGAUGCAGCGACGCCGCGUGGGGGAUGACGGCCUUCGGGUUGUAAACUCCUUUCGACCGCGAGGAAGCCACCUGGUUGGAAGGGUGGUGACGGUAGUGGUAGAAGAAGCACCGGCUAACUACGUG